AGUCGAACGGCAGCACGGGGGCAACCCUGGUGGCGAGUGGCGAACGGGUGAGUAAUACAUCGGAACGUGUCCUGUAGUGGGGGAUAGCCCGGCGAAAGCCGGAUUAAUACCGCAUACGCUCUGCGGAGGAAAGCGGGGGAUCCUUCGGGACCUCGCGCUACAGGGGCGGCCGAUGGCAGAUUAGCUAGUUGGUGGGGUAAAGGCCUACCAAGGCGACGAUCUGUAGCUGGUCUGAGAGGACGACCAGCCACACUGGGACUGAGACACGGCCCAGACUCCUACGGGAGGCAGCAGUGGGGAAUUUUGGACAAUGGGCGAAAGCCUGAUCCAGCAAUGCCGCGUGUGUGAAGAAGGCCUUCGGGUUGUAAAGCACUUUUGUCCGGAAAGAAAACCUCCGAGUUAAUACCUUGGGGGGAUGACGGUACCGGAAGAAUAAGCACCGGCUAACUACGUGCCAGCAGCCGCGGUAAUACGUAGGGUGCAAGCGUUAAUCGGAAUUACUGGGCGUAAAGCGUGCGCAGGCGGUCCGCUAAGACAGAUGUGAAAUCCCCGGGCUUAACCUGGGAACUGCAUUUGUGACUGGCGGGCUAGAGUAUGGCAGAGGGGGGUAGAAUUCCACGUGUAGCAGUGAAAUGCGUAGAGAUGUGGAGGAAUACCGAUGGCGAAGGCAGCCCCCUGGGCCAAUACUGACGCUCAUGCACGAAAGCGUGGGGAGCAAACAGGAUUAGAUACCCUGGUAGUCCACGCCCUAAACGAUGUCAACUAGUUGUCGGGUCUUCAUUGACUUGGUAACGUAGCUAACGCGUGAAGUUGACCGCCUGGGGAGUACGGUCGCAAGAUUAAAACUCAAAGGAAUUGACGGGGACCCGCACAAGCGGUGGAUGAUGUGGAUUAAUUCGAUGCAACGCGAAAAACCUUACCUACCCUUGACAUGUAUGGAAUCUGGCUGAGAGGUCAGAGUGCCCGAAAGGGAGCCAUAACACAGGUGC
rnacentral:rRNA from 1 species